rnacentral:rRNA from 1 species
GGGGGGGGGGGGCGGGGGGGGUGGGGGGGGGGGGUCGGGGGGGGGGGGGGGGGGUGUGGGGGGUGGGGGAGUGGCGAGCGGGGGGGGGAGACGGGAGUAACCUGGGCGUGGGGUGGGGGUAAGUUCGGGAGACUGGGGCUAAGACCGGAUAGGCGCUGCUGAUGCAUGGUGGGGGGUGGAAAGUUUCGGCGGUUGGGGCUGGACUCGCGGCUUAUCAGCUUGUUGGUGGGGUAGUGGCUUACCAAGGCUUUGACGGGUAGCCGGCCUGAGAGGGUGACCGGCCACAUUGGGACUGAGAUACGGCCCAGACUCCUACGGGAGGCAGCAGUGGGGAAUAUUGCACAAUGGGCGGAAGCCUGAUGCAGCAACGCCGCGUGCGGGAUGACGGCCUUCGGGUUGUAAACCGCUUUCGCCUGUGACGAAGCGUGAGUGACGGUAAUGGGUAAAGAAGCACCGGCUAACUACGUG